rnacentral:lncRNA from 10 species
AAAAGGGAGUUGAGACCAUAUGUUUAGUGGUCUCAGGAGGCCGGCCAAGUGGCACCAUCUCAGCUCACUGCAAUUUCCACCUCACAGGUUCAAAUGGGUAUCCUGCCUCAGCCUCCCGAAUAGCUGGGCUUACAGGCAUGUGCCACCAUGCCUGGCUAAUUUUUUAAAUAUUUCUAGUAGAGACAAUGUUUUACCGUGUUGGCCAGGCUGGUCUCUAACUCCUGACCUCAAGUGAUUCACUUGCCUCACUGAUAUCUCAUUGUGAUUUUGAUUAACAUUUUUCUAAUGUCUAAUUAUAUUAGUCAGGGUUCUCCAGAGAGAAUCAAUAAGAUACAUGCAUAUAUAAAAGGGAGUUUAUUAGGGAGAAUUGGCUCAUGCCAUUACAAAGUCAAAAUCCCACAAUAGGUCAUCUGCAAGCUAGCCAAUGAAAAAAGCUGGUACCACAUCCAAGUUGGAAAGCCUCAAAGCCAGGAAAGCUGACAGUCUGAGGCCAAAGGCCUGAGACCCCCAUCUGCUAUUGAGCCCAUUAAGUUGAAAAAAAUAAUUUUUAAAUUGACAAAAAUUGUGUAUGUGUGUUGUGUACAACAGAUAUUUUGAUAUAUGUAUACAUUGUGGAAUGACUAAACUGAGCUAAUUAACCUGCGUUACCUUACGUACUCAGCAUUUUUUUUGUGUGUGCUGAAAACACAAUCGUAGCAAUUUAAAGUAUGCAGUAAAUUAUUAUUAUAAACUAUGGACACCAUGUUUGUACCAUAGAUCUCUUGAACUUAUUCCUCUUAACUGAAAUUUAUCUCCUUUGAUCAACAUUUCCUCACCUAUCUAGUAAGUUUUGUUUUUUUUUUGUGUUUUUUUUUUUUUUGGUUGUUAUUGUAGCUUGUUUUAUCAUCAUUUGGUUGGUUUUACAACCUUUUUCUUAGCUGAAAUUUUCUAUUUUUUAAAUCUGUUUUAAAAGAAUUUGUAAUUGAUUGUUGAAGUGUUUUUAAUGAUAGCUGAUUGAAAAUUAAAAACCUUUCCAACAUCUAAUACACAUCAACAUUAACAUGUUUAUUUUCUUUUUCUCAUCCAAGUUGUGACUUUCUUGGUUCUUGGUAUGAUGGGUGAGUUUUGAUUGUAUGUUGGGCAUUUUGGCUUCUAGAUAAUUUUUAAAUAAUCACUUUUCCCCUAAAUAUGAUUAAUAUAUGUUUACUAUAGAAAAUUUGGAGACUAUUAGAAAAUAUGAAGAAAAACCAAUCCUUACUUUUACUACCAAAGGUAAUAAUCACUGUUAAGUUUUUGUAUAUUAUAUAUAUCUAAAAUACAUCUGUAUAUAUCCCUAUCCCCCUAAAUAUAAUUAUAGCUAACAUUUUCACAUAUGAGAACAUUGAGAUGUGGAGGGUUUUAGGUAACUUUCCCAAGUCACAGAGCCUACCAAGUGAUACAAACCCAAGCUUUUGACCCCUAAGUCUAUUUAACUACUAUGCUACAUUCCC